UGGGGAAUCUUGCACAAUGGGGGCAACCCUGAUGCAGCGACGCCGCGUGAGCGAUGAAGCCCUUCGGGGCGUAAAGCUCUUUCGACCGGAACGAUAAUGACGGUACCGGGAGAAGAAGCUGCGGCUAACUACGUGCCAGCAGCCGCGGUAAUACGUAGGCAGCAAGCGUUGUUCGGAGUUACUGGGCGUAAAGAGUGCGUAGGCGGUUUUCUAAGUUCGGUGUGAAAUCUCCCGGCUUAACUGGGAGGGUGCGCCGAAGACUGGGAAGCUGGAGUGUGGGAAAGGCAGGCGGAAUUCUUGGUGUAGCGGUGAAAUGCGUAGAUAUCAGGAGGAACACCGGCGGUGUAGACGGCUUGCUAGACCAUAACUGACGCUGAGGCACGAAAGCGUGGGUAGCAAAC
rnacentral:rRNA from 1 species